rnacentral:rRNA from 1 species
GACGAACGCUGGCGGCGUGCCUAAUACAUGCAAGUAGAACGCUGAAGGAGGAGCUUGCUUCUCUGGAUGAGUUGCGAACGGGUGAGUAACGCGUAGGUAACCUGCCUGGUAGCGGGGGAUAACUAUUGGAAACGAUAGCUAAUACCGCAUAAGAGUAGAUGUUGCAUGACAUUUGCUUAAAAGGUGCAAUUGCAUCACUACCAGAUGGACCUGCGUUGUAUUAGCUAGUUGGUGAGGUAACGGCUCACCAAGGCGACGAUACAUAGCCGACCUGAGAGGGUGAUCGGCCACACUGGGACUGAGACACGGCCCAGACUCCUACGGGAGGCAGCAGUAGGGAAUCUUCGGCAAUGGACGGAAGUCUGACCGAGCAACGCCGCGUGAGUGAAGAAGGUUUUCGGAUCGUAAAGCUCUGUUGUAAGAGAAGAACGAGUGUGAGAGUGGAAAGUUCACACUGUGACGGUAGCUUACCAGAAAGAGACGGCUAACUACGUG